UACGUAGGUGGCAAGCGUUAUCCGGAAUUACUGGGCGUAAAGCGCACGCAGGUGGCCUUUUAAGUCUGACGUGAAAGCUCCUGGCUUAACUGGGAGAGGUCGUUGGGGACUGGGAGGCUUGAGGCGAGGAGAGGGGCGUAGAAUUCCCGGUGUAGUGGUGGAAUGCGUAGAUAUCGGGGGGAAUACCAGAGGCGAAAGCGGCGCCCUGGCCUGAGCCUGACACUCAUGUGCGAAAGCGUGGGGAGCGAACGGG
rnacentral:rRNA from 1 species